CUACGGGAUGCAGCAGUGGGGAAUAUUGGACAAUGGGGGGAACCCUGAUCCAGCAAUGCCGCGUGUGUGAAGAAGGCCUGCGGGUUGUAAAGCACUUUCGGUUGGGAGGACUGCUUCUAGCACUAAUAUUGUUGGAAGUUGACGUUACCUUCAGAAGAAGCACCGGCUAACUCCGUGCCGGCAGCCGCGGUAAUACGGAGGGUGCAAGCGUUAAUCGGAAUUACUGGGCGUAAAGCGCGCGUAGGCGGCUAGAUCAGUCGGGUGUGAAAGCCCCGGGCUUAACCUGGGAACUGCAUCCGAUACUGUCUAGCUUGAGUACAGGAGAGGAGAGUGGAAUUCCACAUGUAGCGGUGAAAUGCGUAGAUAUGUGGAGGAACACCAGUGGCGAAGGCAGCUCUCUGGCCUGAUACUGACGCUGAGGUGCGAAAGCGUGGGGAUCAAACAGGAUUAGAUACCCUUGUAGUC
rnacentral:rRNA from 1 species